GAUGAACGCUAGCGGCAGGCUUAACACAUGCAAGUCGAGGGGUAACAGAGGUAGCUUGCUACUUGCUGACGACCGGCGCACGGGUGCGUAACGCGUAUAGAACCUACCUUAUACUGGAGGAUAGCCUUUAGAAAUGAAGAUUAAUACUCCAUAGUGACAUUUAGUCUCCUGACUUUAUGUUUAAAGAUUUAUUGGUAUAAGAUGGCUAUGCGUUCUAUUAGCUAGAUGGUAAGGUAACGGCUUACCAUGGCAACGAUAGAUAGGGGUCCUGAGAGGGAGAUCCCCCACACUGGUACUGAGACACGGACCAGACUCCUACGGGAGGCAGCAGUGAGGAAUAUUGGUCAAUGGAGGCAACUCUGAACCAGCCAUGCCGCGUGAAGGAAGACUGCCCUAUGGGUUGUAAACUUCUUUUAUAUGGGAAGAAACGAGAUUACGUGUAAUCUUUUGACGGUACCAUACGAAUAAGGACCGGCUAACUCCG
rnacentral:rRNA from 1 species